GGGGUUAGCUCAGUUGGUAGAGCGCUGCUUGAGCAGGAUGUCAGGAGUUCGAGUCUCCUAACCUCCA
rnacentral:tRNA from 1 species